UGUGACUGUGGCAUUACAGAUGUUUAUUCUUUAACUCAGUCUUUGACAAACACAAAAGCUCUGCAGUUUCUAAAACAGCUUCAUCUGAGAGAGAAUAAGAUUGAAGACUCAAAGCAGAAGCUCAUUGAUGUGCUACGAGACUCAAACUGUAAACUGAGUGUAGAUCCAUCACCAAAAGAUGAUAAAUGCU